GGACAAAUGGCCGAGUGGACUAAGGCGCCGUCUUCAGGUCUCUUGGAAGCGUGAUCGGCGGUCUUCGGGCGUGGGUUCGAAUCCCACUUUGUUCA
rfam:Melampsora larici-populina 98AG31 unplaced genomic scaffold MELLAscaffold_5, whole genome shotgun sequence.